ACAGAGAGAUGGAUGCAGGCUUGAACUCACGAACCACAAGAUCAUGACCUGAGCCAAAGUCAGAUGCUUAACCAAUUGAACCCCCCCAGGUGCCCCAACCAGCAGCUCUUAAUGAGGUAGUUUCACAUGUCUGACACAAACCUCUGUCCUGGAGAGCUUUGAAGUGACUUCCUAGUAUGUUACUAAAUUUGCAGCUUCAAGAAAAACCUCCCUAAAGAUGAGGUAAGAAUACGUCGGAGUGCCCUUGCUCCGUUGCGUAGAGCCAGAAGCCUGGUUUCGUUAGUUUGCCCAGAGGUGAGUAGGCUCCAGAGGGCACACUAAUGCUACCCAAACUCAAAAGGGAUUGAUGUAUAAACCUACAAUGUGCAUUAACUACUUUCUAGUGAAAAACUUAAUUUUCAGCCAUCUGGAUAAUUUUAUUUGCCAACAAGGUGUUCCUUCACGAAGGAAGAUCUGCGUGGGAGACCAGAUUCUUACCCUAUGUAUCUAUUGGCCCCGUCGUUGGUUUGGAACCUUGGGAGCUUUGCGGGCGAAAUCUGAAAUUGUUCUCCACACACAGAGGGCUCUUUCUUGAAAAUGGAUCCUAGCACGGGAACAGCGGGCAGAGUAGACACGCCCAGGACGGAGAGGAUGAGAAGCUUCUGAUUCUCCAGUCCAGCCUGAGGGUCACCUGGUAAUCAGUGUCCUCUCGAUGACUUCCUCCACCACCCACUUAACCCAUCCAAGAAGCAAAACAUGUAUUAAAUUGUUUUUUUUU